UUGCCCUAGUAACGGCGAGUGAAGCGGCAACAGCUCAAAUUUGAAAUCUGGCUCUUUCAGGGUCCGAGUUGUAAUUUGCAGAGGGCGCUUUGGCGUUGGCAGCGGUCCAAGUUCUUUGGAACAGGACGUCACAGAGGGUGAGAAUCCCGUACGUGGUCGCUAACCUUCGCCGUGUAAAGCCCCUUCGACGAGUCGAGUUGUUUGGGAAUGCAGCUCUAAAUGGGAGGUAAAUUUCUUCUAAAGCUAAAUACUGGCCAGAGACCGAUAGCGCACAAGUAGAGUGAUCGAAAGAUGAAAAGCACUUUGGAAAGAGAGUCAAAUAGCACGUGAAAUUGUUGAAAGGGAAGCGCUUGCAGCCAGACUUGCCUGUAGUUGCUUAUCCGGACUUUUGUCCGGUGCACUCUUCUGCAGGCAGGCCAGCAUCAGUUUGGGCGGUUGGAUAAAGGUCUCUAUCACGUACCUCCCUUCGGGGUUGGCCUUAUAGGGGAGACGUCAUGCAACCAGCCUGGACUGAGGUCCGCGCAUCUGCUAGGAUGCUGGCGUAAUGGCUGUAAGCGGCCCGUCUUGAAACACGGACCAAGGAGUCUAACAUCUAUGCGAGUGUUUGGGUGUCAAGCCCAGACGCGUAAUGAAAGUGAACGGAGGUGGGAACCUUUUAGGUGCACCAUCGACCGAUCCUGAUGUCUUCGGAUGGAUUUGAGUAAGAGCAUGGCUGUUGGGACCCGAAAGAUGGUGAACUAUGCUUGAAUAGGGUGAAGCCAGAGGAAACUCUGGUGGAGGCUCGCAGCGGUUCUGACGUGCAAAUCGAUCGUCAAAUU
rnacentral:rRNA from 1 species